UACGGGGGGGGGCAAGCGUUGUUCGGAAUUACUGGGCGUAAAGGGCUCGUAGGUGGCCAACUAAGUCAGACGUGAAAUCCCUCGGCUUAACCGGGGAACUGCCUUUGAUACUGGGGAUCUUGAGUCCGGGAGAGGUGAGUGGAACUGCGAGUGUAGAGGUGAAAUUCGUAGAUAUUCGCAAGAACACCAGUGGCGAAGGCGGCUCACUGGCCCGGUACUGACGCUGAGGUGCGAAAGCGUGGGGAGCAAACAGG
rnacentral:rRNA from 1 species